GUGAAGUAGGCCACGUGGCGGUUAUAAAUAGUGUCAAAACUUCAUCAGAUGUGCUCCAUUAUAUUUAUUAAAAAUAAUUCUAGUGCACAUGCAAGGCCCAGGUAUCAAUCCCCAGAACCACUUUUAAAAAGAAAACUAACAAUAAUUAUUUUGAAUGUAGACAUAUAAAAAAAAAACCUUACAAAAAUGAGUAUAGGUAGAACAUGCCUAUAAACUCAACACCUCAACACUAUGGAGGCAGAGGAUUGCAAACUGGAGGCUAUCCUGGGCUAUAAUGAGAGACCAUAUCUAAAAAAAAAAUGCUGAGUGCAUAGCCCAGGGGUAGAUAAUUCACCUAGCAUAUACAUGGUCAUUGGUAGGUUUUCUAGUGCAAAAUCAUCAUCAUCAUCAACAUCCUAGCAGGACUUGAUGGGAACACAGUAUAAGGAAAGGGAGAUGCCAUAUAACCCCUAGAUGUGGCAAUUUGUUCUUCAAAGUGCAGUGUAAAAGUGCCUCAGCACCAUGGGCCUGGUAAACUUUCAACACUGCACACGCUGCUGUUUUCCUCUACUCUGAUACCGUAGAGCUUUUGCAUCCUGAAUAGCAGUUCUGUCCCCUGGAAGCAACUCUCAGCUAGUGACUAAGCAAAACUGGACUCGCUCAUCUUCUGGUUGGAAGACUGAACCAUAGAGGCCUAGGAGAGAGUUAAGGUCUAUGAGGUCAGCAUAUCUCUAUCUCUAUAUCUAACACACACACACACACACACACAUAUAAUCUCCUCCCAAAUAUACCUCUCUCUGUUUCUAGGUAGAGGUAGCUUCUUUAAGGGUCUAAACUAACACUCAAAACCAUGGGAAUAACCUGAGUUAUAAUCUUAAAACUUCUUUCAACAGCUUUAAAGAUAAAGUCCCAUACCUUCUACUUACUAUAAAAUAAACAUUUCUUUACUUUGGAGAAAUUGCAACUAAGGGUCCAUUCAAAUGGUCUUGAUAUAAUAGCUGAUAAUUUGAGCGAAAUUUUCAGAUACUAGAAAACUGUACAAGAAUGACUAGAGAUACCAUAGUCCCUUAAUAUGUUUGGAGGAAGAGGACUCAAAUAAUAAAGGUGGAUUUAAGGAAUCCUGCAUCAAGCACUGAUAAAAGAAUUAUGGGAAAAGGGAGCCUAGCGUGAAACCUUCUAACUUCCUAGGGGGAUGUAAACGUAAUGCCUGAUUGCUUUUUAGAAAGAAGAUGUCAUUAAAUGCUGCUAUUUAAGAAUACAGGGCAGUCAUUUUGCAAAUAUCCCUUGAUGUUUGUCACUGUAUUUUCCCAAGAACAGAUUCAAACACUAUGUUUGAGGCAACAAUAGCGAGAAUGUGACAUGCUCAUUCUUCAGUACCACGUUAGCCAGAAAUGAGAAUGUGGGGAGUUUGUGUCUCACAUCACACAUUUGUAUCUUUGAAAGUAUGUAAAGUUCAUGAAUUUUACUCACUAUAAUUAAUCCACGGCUGAUUCCUUAUGGGAUAAGUACUACAAGUAUAAUAAUGAGACAAUAUUUGAUGUCGUGUUUCCAUUUCUUACAUGUAUGCCUUUCCUCUGAUGGUCAAGGCGUCCUCUUCUCCCUUGAUCUUGGUAAUUUAAGAAGUCUGUACUUGUAUAUUCAUUUCUUACUUGAAAAGCUGCAACUGUGGCGACAACUCCAAAUGCUAGACAACUUAUCUGCCAUAAAUUACUGUUCUAUCUUGAGCUUUUACAGCAGGGAAAACACAAGCAAAUUUUCUCCAGAUUCCUUUUCUAGGGGAGGUUUACAGCUCCAAAUACGAUGAAGAGACGGCUUGUAGCUGUGUUGAUGAAGAGACCACUUGCAGCUGUGUCGAUAAACAUUACCACAGGCUUCCUAUCUUCUUAAAAUCCCAAUUUUCCAAACAAGUUGGUUUCGUGUCUCCCAAGGACCCUGUCUCCUCCCCCUUUUCUAUUUAUUUUUUAGUUGCUUUUAAAUAUUUCAGUUUACGUUAUCUUAGACGUACACAUUUGUGAAGUAUAACAUGAUAUAGGUGUAUUAAUACAUCUCAAAGUGUUGGGCUGGAAAAAUGGCUCGGUGGUUAAGAGAGCUUGUUGUUCUUACAGAGAUCUUGAGUUCCACUUCCAGUAACCUUCUCAGGCAGCUCACAGCUCUGUGUAACUCCUGUUCCGGAGAGCCACUGCCCUCUUCUGGCCAGCAAAGACACUGCACACACAUGCUGUACUUAGCAUUCAUGUAGGGAAAUAGGAAUCUUUUAAUUAUAAAAAAAAUCUUAAAUUUUAUUGCCACUUACUGCCACGAGGCAACAAGAAUAUGGACAUAUAAAUAAACUUUAUUUGUCUGCUAUAAAUCUGCCUUUCUUUAGUCUCCUUCACAAGCUCCAGGUGCUGAACCUAGAGCAGAAGUUUCCCUCGUCCAUUUCAGCCUUCACUAACACCAUUUGAUUAGCUUGACUCUCAAACUGUCCCUUAUUCUGCCAGCAGAAACCACUAACAUUCAACUGUUAAUAACAAAGAUGUAUCUACAUGAUUCUCUAUUUCUCGAAUGUGCGAGGAAGCACGUAUUCACUCAGGAACAACAGAUCUGGGGGCACUGUAUCAGCUCUUCACCUCAACCUCAGUAAUGGGUAGAGACUUUGUAAACACAGAUGGAGAGGAGACCGGUCCUAAUUAGCACAUUCCUUUCUAAUCUCCUAAUUUCUUUCCCUAUAUAUGAAAUGUUUAUUUUCUUUCUAAUGGCUUAAUUCAUUUGAAAUGGAACUGUGUGUGAUGGCUAUUCAAGUGGAGUUUAAUGCUAAGACCAAACAGAGCUGAGUCAGAGUUCCUCCAAUACUCUGGAAAAGAAAGCACUGGUGUUGUUCCACCGAGGGGUUUAUGGACAGCAACAGGAGCUAAGAGCUGGGUGUCACCUUCAAAAACUGUAGAAAAAUCUGUGUGUGCAUGAUAGUCAUUCUGUAGAGGAAGCUUUUCUGGCAUAAAAAUCUGUCAAUGUUACAUGAAAAGAUAACUGCACAGACUAUACAACAUCUCAGAUUUGUAAUUUUGCAAUGUGUCAAUGGAUAUUUUCUAGGUUUUUCUGUGUUUGCAGAGUUUGGGGUAUAAAUUUUAAAUAGCUUCUAUUUUAUUCUGACUUAGCUUGUAUUUUCUAAUUUUUAACAAUGAAAUAUAGUACUUUGAA
rnacentral:lncRNA from 1 species